rnacentral:rRNA from 1 species
AACAAACGCUGGCGGCGUGCCUAAUACAUGCAAGUCGAACGGGGUAGCAAUACCUAGUGGCGCACGGGUGAGUAACGCGUGGAUAAUCUGCCUUAGAAUGGGGGAUAACUAGUCGAAAGAUUAGCUAAUACCGCAUAAGACCACAAGAACUGCGGUUCAAGGGGUCAAAGGUUUUUCGCUCUAAGAUGAGUCCGCGUAAGAUUAGCUAGUUGGUGAGGUAAUGGCUCACCAAGGCGACGAUCUUUAACUGGUCUGAGAGGAUGAUCAGUCACACUGGAACUGAGACACGGUCCAGACUCCUACGGGAGGCAGCAGUAGGGAAUAUUGCGCAAUGGAGGAAACUCUGAUGCAGCGACGCCGCGUGAGUGAUGAAGGCCUUCGGGUCGUAAAGCUCUGUCGCAGGGGAAUAACACAAUGAAUGUACCCUGUAAGAAAGGAUCGGCUAACUUCGUGCCAGCCGCCGCAGUAAAAC